rnacentral:rRNA from 1 species
UACGUAGGGUGCAAGCGUUGUCCGGAAUUAUUGGGCGUAAAGAGCUCGUAGGCGGUUCGUCGCGUCGGCUGUGAAAUCCCGGAGCUCAACUCCGGGUCUGCAGUCGAUACGGGCGGACUCGAGUUCGGCAGGGGAGACUGGAAUUCCUGGUGUAGCGGUGAAGUGCGCAGAUAUCAGGAGGAACACCAAUGGCGAAGGCAGCUCGCUGGGACGUGACUGACGCUGAGACGCGAAAGCGUGGGGAGCAAACAGG